rnacentral:rRNA from 1 species
CUCCUACGGGAGGCAGCAGUGGGGAAUCUUCCGCAAUGGGCGAAAGCCUGACGGAGCAACGCCGCGUGAGUGAAGACGGCCUUCGGGUUGUAAAGCUCUGUUAUAGGGGACGAACGGCCGGGUAGCGAAGAGGUACCCGGCAUGACGGUACCGUAAGAGAAAGCCACGGCUAACUACGUGCCAGCAGCCGCGGUAAUACGUAGGUGGCAAGCGUUGUCCGGAAUGAUUGGGCGUAAAGGGCGCGCAGGCGGCUGUGUAAGUCUGUCCAGAAAGUGCGGGGCUAAACCCCGUGAGAGGAUGGAAACUGGACAGCUGAGAGUGUCGGAGAGGAAAGCGGAAUUCCUAGUGUAGCGGUGAAAUGCGUAGAUAUUAGGAGGAACACCGGUGGCGAAAGCGGCUUUCUGGACGACAACUGACGCUGAGGCGCGAAAGCCAGGGGAGCAAACGGGAUUAGAUACCCCGGUAGUCCUGGCCGUAAACGAUGGGUACUAGGUGUAGGAGGUAUCGACCCCUCCUGUGCCGGAGUUAACGCAAUAAGUACCCCGCCUGGGGAGUACGGCCGCAAGGCUGAAACUCAAAGGAAUUGACGGGGGCCCGCACAAG